rfam:Picea glauca, whole genome shotgun sequence.
CUCAUGGAGAGUUUGAUCCUGGCUCAGGAUUAACGCUGGCAGCAUGCUUAACACAUGCAAGUCAGACGGGAAGUGGUUUUUCCAGUGGCGGAUGGGUGAGUAACUCGUAAGAACCUGCCCUUAGGAGGGGAACAAUAGCUGGAAACGGCUGCUAAUACCCCAUAUGCUGAGGAGAAAAAGGAGGAAUCCACCCAAAAAGGGGUUCACGUCUAAUUAGUUAGUUGGUGAGGCAAUGACUUACCAAGGUGACGAUCAGUAGCUUGUCCGAGAGGAUGAUCAACCACACUGGGACUGAGACACGACCCAGACUCCUAUGGGAGGCAGCAGUGGGGAAUUUUCCGCAAUGGGUGAAAGCCUGACGGAGCAAUGUCACGUGAAGGCAGAAGGUCCACGGGUCAUGAACUUCUUUUCUCAGAGAAGAAACAAUGAUGGUAUCUGAGGAAAGAGCAUCAGCUAACUCUGUGCCAACAGCCGCAGUAAGACAGAGGAUGCAAGCGUUAUCCAGAAUGAUUGGGCGUAAAGCGUCUGUAGGUGGAUUUUCAAGUCCGUCGUCAAAUCCUAGGGCUCAACCCUCGACAGGCGGUGGAAACUACCAAGAUGGAGUACCAUAGGGGCAGAGGGAAUUUCCGGUGGAGUGGUGAAAUGUGUUGAGAUCAGAAAGAACACCAACAAUGAAAUCACUCUGUUGGGCUAACACUGACACUGAGAGACGAAAGCUAGGGGAGAAAAUGGGAUUAGAUAUCCCAGUUAUCAAUAAAUUCAAACUAGAGCUACAUCAUUAAUAACCUAAGUU